CCUUGACAUACUAAGAACUUCCAGAGAUGGAUUGGUGCCUUCGGGAACUUAGAUACAGGUGCUGCAUGGCUGUCGUCAGCUCGUGUCGUGAGAUGUUGGGUUAAGUCCCGNAACGAGCGCAACCCUUUUCCUUAUUUGCCAGCGGGUCAUGCCGGGAACUUUAAGGAUACUGCCAGUGACAAACUGGAGGAAGGCGGGGACGACGUCAAGUCAUCAUGGCCCUUACGGCCAGGGCUACACACGUGCUACAAUGGUCGGUACAAAGGGUUGCUACCUCGCGAGAGGAUGCUAAUCUCAAAAAGCCGAUCGUAGUCCGGAUCGCAGUCUGCAACUCGACUGCGUGAAGUCGGAAUCGCUAGUAAUCGCGGAUCAGAAUGCCGCGGUCGAAUACGUUCCCGGGCCUUGUACACACCGCCCGUCACACCAUGGGAGUUUGUUGCACCAGAAGUAGGUAGUCUAACCGCAAGGAGGACGCUUACCACGGUGUGGCCGAUGACUGGGGUGAAGUCGUAACAAGGUAAGCGUAGAUGA
rnacentral:rRNA from 1 species